rfam:Ictidomys tridecemlineatus contig063717, whole genome shotgun sequence.
GGUGGUGUGGCUCAGUGGUAGAGCAUUCGCCUAGCACAUGAGAGGCCCUGGGUUCAAUCCUCAGCACCAUAU